CCCCUGAUAACUCAGUUGAUAAAGAAUCUGCUUGCAAUGCAGGAGACCCCGGUUUGAUUCCUGGGUCGGGGAA
rnacentral:tRNA from 1 species